CUGGCUUACUGGUGCUCUUCCAUGCCGUCCCUAGGAGGGGUGCAUCACUUGAGUGGGUUGAGUCACUGACGUGAUCUUCCUGUCUGGGUUGGCUCCCCCCCUUGUGUUGUGCCGUGGCGGAGAUCUUUGUGGGCAAUAUUCGGCCUUGUCUCAGGAUGGUAGGUUGGUGGUUGAAGAUAUCCCUCUAGUGGUGUGGGGGCUGUGCUUUGGCAAAGUGGGUGUGGUUAUAUCCUGCCUGUUUGACCCUGUCCAGGGGUAUCAUCGGAUGGGGCCACAGUGUCUCCUGACCCCUCCUGUCUCAGCCUCCAGUAUUUAUGCUGCAGUAGCUUAUGUGUCGUUGUGCUAGGGUCAGUCUGUUAUACCUGGAGUACUUCUCCUGUCUUAUCCGGUGUCCUGUGUGAAUUUGUCUGCUCUCUCUAAUUCUCUCUUCCUUUCUCUCUCGGAGGACCUGAGCCCCAUGACCAUGCCUCAGGACUACCUGGCAUGAUGACUCCUUGCUGUCCCCAGUCCACCCGGCCGUGCUGCUGCUCCAGUUUCAACUGUUCUGCCUGCGGCUAUGGAACCCUGACCUGUUCACCAGAUGUGCUACCUGUCCCAGACCUGCUGUUUUCAACUCUCUAGAGACAGCAGGUGCGGUAGAGAUACUCUUAAUGAUUGGCUAUGAAAAAAGAAAUUACAUUUACUCCUGAGGUGCUGACUUGUUGAACCCUCGACAACUACUGUGAUUAUUAUUAUUUGACCAUGCUGGUCAUCUAUGAACAUUUGAACAUCUUGGCCAUGUUCUGUUAUAAUCUCCACCCGGCACAGCCAGAAGAGGACUGGCCACCCCUCAUAGCCUGGUUCCUCUCUAGGUUUCUUCCUAGGUUUUGGCCUUUUCUAGGGAGUUCUUCCUAGCCACCGUGCUUCUACACCUGCAUUGCUUGCUGUUUGGGGUUUUAGGCUGGGUUUCUGUACAGUACUUUGAGAUAUCAGCUGUUGUAAGAAGGACUUUAUAAAUACAUUUGAUUUGAACUGCUCGGCCUCCAACCGCAAGCCACUACAGAGGGUAGUGCGAACACCCCAGUACAUCACUGCGGCCAAGCUUCCUGCUGUCCAGGACCUCUUUAACAGGCGGUGUCAGAGGAAGGCGCUGAAAAUUGCCAUACUCCAGCCACCCUAGUCAUAGACUGUUCUCUCUGCUAGCGCAUGGCAAGCGGUACCAGGGCGCCAAGUCUAAGUCCAAGAGGCUUUUUUUUUUAACUGCAUUGUUGGUUAGGGGCUAAUAAGUAAGCAUUUCACUGUAAGGUACCUGUUGUAUUCGGCGCACAUGACUAAUAAAAUUCGAUUUGGACCAUUUUCCCAUCCUGCUAAGCAUUCAAAAUGUAAUGAAUACUUUUGGUGUCAGGGAAAAUGUAUGGAGUAAAAAGUUCAAUAUUUUCUUGUAAUGAAGUAAAAGUAAUAAAACAUAUAGAUACCUCAAAAAACUACUUAAUAAGUAGUAUUAUUACUUAACUACUUUACAUGGGGCUAGUAACCGGAAGGUUGCAAGUUCAAAUCCCCGAGCUGACAAAGUACAAAUCUGUUGUUCUGCCCCUGAACAGGCAGUUAACCCACUGUUCCUAGGCCGUCAUUGAAAAUAGGAAUUUGUUCUUAACUGACUUGCCUAGUUAAAUAAAGGUUAAAAAAAACACACACACAAAACACCACUGGUUGAAUCGACGACUCUCUUGAAAAUUGAACUCAGGAGCCCUUUGCAAGCUGGGGUGUUAGGGUGUUGGUUUGAGAUAAAAACUAGAAAAACAAGGGCGAAGCGAAAAAGAUCAACAUAAAUAGCAGUUAUGGUUAACGCUGAAAGCUGGGCACACCCAAUCUAUGACGUAGUAGAUGAAGACACAUGAAGCUCUACUCGGAAAGCAAAGAAUAAACAUUUUUUUUAAACGGGGCCUCAAAUCUAAUAUCAAUAUUACCCGCUUGUGAAGAAGACCUAAAGAAAAUAAUGGGCCAAUCAUAUCGAUUGGAUGCCAUGACGAAUUUGACGCUAUGCGACCAACCGCUGGAGACUUCCUUCAGCAAAGAUGGCUGACAAAAAUACUAGGACCGAAGCAAACGUUAGUGACUCCUGAGAAAACCACCAAACCAGGCUGUCGUCUUGUGAAACAGUGGAUGUAAGGAAUAUAGUUAGCUAACAUUUUACUGAAAAUGUAAUGUACAUUUUGUACGCUUGCCUUGCUGGUAUUUGCCAUGAAAUGCAGCUGAAGUAAUGUAGCUAGUUAACCAUUGUCUUGCUUAUUGUGUAGUGGAGGAUAAAAAAUACCUGUAUGCCUAUGGAUGUGUAGCUAGCUAUAAAAAAAUAUAGCUAAGAAUAUAUUCACUGAUCAUGUGCUCUACCUUGGCAAAUAAAGGUGUGGUUCAGGUCUUUUUCAGUCAUAUCCAAUACCAAGAGUAUCAAACUCCAGUCUUUGAAUGAUGCUUUGUCCGCAUGUAUGUAUUACAAUUAUAUACUUCAACCAUGUUUACCAAUCCUGGUCCAUCUAUGGUUACACAUUGUAACUAUGCAACGGACUAGAAACAUGAUUUAACUAGUUAAAGACGGAUUUGUAAAUUCACAUAUAUAUAGAAACAGAAUUUAAAAAGGUACCCUGUACUUUCUAUAUAUCAUGUAAAUACUUGAAUAAACAGUUCAUCUCAA